rnacentral:rRNA from 1 species
CCCAAGAGAUCGGGAUAACACCUGGAAACAGAUGCUAAUACCGGAUAACAACAGAUGAUGCCUAUCAACUGUUUAAAAGAUGGCUCUGCUAUCACUCUUGGAUGGACCUGCGGUGCAUUAGCUAGUUGGUAGGGUAACGGCCUGCCAAGGCGAUGAUGCAUAGCCGAGUUGAGAGACUGAUCGGCCACAUUGGGACUGAGACACGGCCCAAACUCCUACGGGAGGCAGCAGUG